GACUGACAGAGGUUUUUAAACCUCGAUGACCGAGUUGACAAGAUUUAUUUCAAGGCUCUCUUCAUGUAUUGGGAUAGCGAUGCCACCAAAAAUAAAUCCACGAAGGGGUCCAUAAAUAGAGGAAAGAAGAUGUAUGACCACCAUUUGGGCUCACACUCCUACGCCAAUCUGGAGGAUGCUUAUUGUCAGGACACGGGAAAAUCAUUAAUGUUGAUACACUUGACGGCAAAAGCGGCAUAUGAUACUUUCCAUGAUAAAUAUAGGGGUGAUAAGAAGAAUCAGGAUAAGAUCAGGGAAAAUCUCGAGUUGAUGAGUGGAUUUGAGGCUGCAUCCAAGGAGGCUGCAUCUGCGCAUAUUUCGUAGGAGGAGGAACAAACCUAGCCGGAUCCUCACAUGCUUUCUACAGAGGAGAACAUCACUCUCACACAGAACCUGAUGGGUUAUAACAGGAGAGGAAGAUAUCCUCUGUAUGGAAUUGGCGCUUCACCCGGCAUAAGUAUGAGAUCAUCCACAACAUCCUCCACGCCAUCUGCGUCAAUAAGAACAGCCCCAAGCAGUUUCCAGGCUAUGCCACUUGCCGCAUGUAUCUCUACGUAUUUGAUUGAUAAGAUUGACCCGGAGCUGCAUAUUCAGGUGACUAAUGAGAUGACUAGAGUUACGCUGACAGCGAACUCCAUGGACGAUCUCAUGGGGUAUGUAAUACAAUAUUUAGGCGGUCCGAUUCCUUAUAGCGCGUAUGGUGGUGUCAUACGGCUCAUAAGCUCGAGUUGUGAUAAUUCUGGCGCUAGACAUAGCAGCGCACAUAGUGGAGAUAUUGGAAGGAGCAGCACCCGUUCUCGUAACCGGGAUAGAGAUACCCUCGUCGACGAUGAUAGCUGAGGUUUUUUGCCAUUUUUAUUGCAAUAAACAGUUUACUUUGUUAUAACACUACAUUUA